AGUGAACGCUGGCGGUAGGCCUAACACAUGCAAGUCGAACGGCAGCACAGUAAGAGCUUGCUCUUACGGGUGGCGAGUGGCGGACGGGUGAGGAAUGCAUCGGAAUCUACUUUUUCGUGGGGGAUAACGUAGGGAAACUUACGCUAAUACCGCAUACGACCUACGGGUGAAAGCAGGGGAUCUUCGGACCUUGCGCGAUUGAAUGAGCCGAUGUCGGAUUAGCUAGUUGGCGGGGUAAAGGCCCACCAAGGCGACGAUCCGUAGCUGGUCUGAGAGGAUGAUCAGCCACACUGGAACUGAGACACGGUCCAGACUCCUACGGGAGGCAGCAGUGGGGAAUAUUGGACAAUGGGCGCAAGCCUGAUCCAGCCAUACCGCGUGGGUGAAGAAGGCCUUCGGGUUGUAAAGCCCUUUUGUUGGGAAAGAAAAGCAGCAGGUUAAUACCCCGCUGUCCUGACGGUACCCAAAGAAUAAGCACCGGCUAACUUCGUG
rnacentral:rRNA from 1 species